AUUGAACGCUGGCGGCAUGCCUUACACAUGCAAGUCGAACGGUAACGCGGGGCAACCUGGCGACGAGUGGCGAACGGGGGCGUAAUGCACCGGGACGUGCCCCGUAGUGGGGGAUAGCCCGGCGAAAGCCGGAUUAAUACCGCAUACGACCUACGGGUGAAAGCGGGGGACCGUAAGGCCUCGUGCUAUCAGAGGGGCCGAUGUCGGAUUAGGUUGUUGGUGGGGUAAAAGCCUACCAAGGCGACGAUCUGUAGCUGGUCUGAGAGGACGACCAGCCACACUGGGACUGAGACACGGCCCAGACUCCUACGGGAGGCAGCAGUGGGGAAUUUUGGACAAUGGGUGCAACCCUGAUCCAGCCAUGCCGCGUGCGGGAAGAAGGCCUUCGGGUUGUAAGCCGCUUUUGUCAGGGAAGAAACGCUCUGGGCUAAUACCCCGGGGUAAUGACGGUACCUGAAGAAUAAGCACCGGCUAACUACGUGCCAGCAGCCGCCGUAAUAC
rnacentral:rRNA from 1 species